rnacentral:rRNA from 1 species
GACGAACGCUGGCGGCGUGCUUAACACAUGCAAGUCGAACGGAAAGGCCCUGCUUUUGUGGGGUGCUCGAGUGGCGAACGGGUGAGUAACACGUGAGUAACCUGCCCUUGACUUUGGGAUAACUUCAGGAAACUGGGGCUAAUACCGGAUAGGAGCUCCUGCUGCAUGGUGGGGGUUGGAAAGUUUCGGCGGUUGGGGAUGGACUCGCGGCUUAUCAGCUUGUUGGUGGGGUAGUGGCUUACCAAGGCUUUGACGGGUAGCCGGCCUGAGAGGGUGACCGGCCACAUUGGGACUGAGAUACGGCCCAGACUCCGACGGGAGGCAGCAGUGGGGAAUAUUGCACAAUGGGCGGAAGCCUGAUGCAGCAACGCCGCGUGCGGGAUGACGGCCUUCGGGUUGUAAACCGCUUUCGCCUGUGACGAAGCGUGAGUGACGGUAAUGGGUAAAGAAGCACAGGCUAACUAAGUG